rnacentral:snRNA from 1 species
GAUGUAUCCUGACACUACUUCAUAUACUAAAAUUGGAAUGAUACUGAGAAGAUUAGCAUGGACCCUGUGCAAGCAUGACACGCAAAUUCAUGAAGCNUUCUAUGUUAUU